GACGGAGGAUGCAAGUGUUAUCCGGAAUCACUGGGCGUAAAGCGUCUGUAGGUGGUUUAAAAGUCCACUGUUAAAGAUUGAAGCUUAACUUCAAAAAUGCCGUGGAAACUUUUAAACUUGAGUAUGAUAGGGGUAGAGGGAAUUUCCAGUGGAGCGGUGAAAUGCGUAGAUAUUGGAAAGACCACCAAUGGCGAAGGCACUCUACUGGGCCAUUACUGACACCGAGAGACGAAAGCUAGGGGAGCAAAUGGG
rnacentral:rRNA from 1 species